rnacentral:rRNA from 1 species
AGGGGGUAAAUUAAUAAUUUAAAUUAUAAUAAAAAAAAUUUUAAUAUUAAAAAAAAAUAAUGGGGGUUAGAGUAUUUUUAAUAGAAAAAAUUAGUAGUUUUAUAGUUAAUUAUUACUGUAAAGGAAAUUAUAAAUAAUUGAAAAUUAAUUAAAAAAAAAGUAAAUUUAAUUUGUUGUAUCUUGUGUAUCAGAGUUUAUUAAAUAUUAGUAAUUUAUUUAAAUAAAUCUCGAAUUUAAAAGAGUUAAUUAAUUAAAAAAGUUAAUGUUGAAUAAUUAUUUUAAAUAAUUAAUUAGAAAUGAAAUGUUAAUCGUUUUUAAAUAUAUCUAGUUUUUUUAGAAAAAAAUUUAAUUUUAAAUUAAAAUAAUUUUAUAAUUUUUUAAUUAAUUAUAAAAAUUUAAAAUUUAAUAUUUUAGGGGAUAAGCUUUAAAUUAAAAUUUUAUAAUUAAUAAAUAAAAAUUAAAAUUUUUAAAAUUUAUAUUGUUUAAAAAUUAUAAUUUAUUAUAAAAAAUUUUAAUUAAAAUAAAAUUUAAAUUAAAUUUAAUUUUUUAUAAAAAAAUGAUUUUUAAUUAAUAAAAAUUAAUAAUAAUGAUAAAAUUAGUAUAUUAUAAUUAAUAAAAAAAAAAUUAGUUAAAAUUAAAUUAAAGGAAUUCGGCAAAAUUUUAUAUUCACUUGUUUAUCAAAAACAUGUCUUUUUGAAAAUAAUUUAAAGUCUAAUCUGCCCACUGAUAUAAUUAUUAAAGGGCUGCAGUAUAUUGACUGUACAAAGGUAGCAUAAUCAUUAGUCUUUUAAUUGAAGACUUGUAUGAAAGAUUUGAUGAAAUAUUAACUGUCUCUGAUUUAUUUAUAUAAAAUUUAAUUUUUUAGUUAAAAAGCUAAAAUAAAAUUAAAAGACGAGAAGACCCUAUAGAGUUUUAUAAUUAUAAUAAUUAAUAAAUAUCUUAUUUAUAUAUAAAUAAAGAAAAAUUAUUUUAAUUAUUUUAUUGGGGUGAUAAAAAAAUUAAAAAAACUUUUUUUUAUUUAAACAUAAAUAAGUGAAAGAAUGAUCCAUUAAUAAUGAUUAUAAGAAAAAAUUACCUUAGGGAUAACAGCGUAAUAUUUUUUUUUAGUACAAAUAAAAAAAAAAGUUUGCGACCUCGAUGUUGGAUUAAGAUAAAAUUUAAAUGCAAAAGUUUAAAAUUUUGAUCUGUUCGAUCAUUAAAAUCUUACAUGAUCUGAGUUCAAACCGGUGUAAGCCAGGUUGGUUUCUAUCUUUAAUAAAAAUAAAUAUUUUAGUACGAAAGGAUCAAAUAUUUGAAAUAAUUUUAAUUAUAAGAAUAUUAAUAAAUUUAUAUAAAA